AAAUUGAAUUGAAUUGAAUUGAAUUCAAAUGACGUAACUGGGUUUAUAAAAGAUUUAAAAAGAUAUGGCAACCAUUCAAACAUAAUAGAAACGAUCACCACAUCAGUACUGAUCUAUAGUCUUAAUUGGAACUGAAUCAACUUCUUUGACUUGGUGACAAAUUUGGCGAAAGAUGUUUAAAUGGCUUUUUGAAACCUCAUCUCACUGCCUCACAGUCAAAGUGUCUCUGUCAACGCCUAACAUUUAGCACAAGGAGCCGCGCAGCAUCCUAAACACUCGGUGGCAUUUGAAUAUCAGAUGAUGUAUUUGUUGGCACCAAACCAGCAGCAAAGUGAGCCACACAGACUGCUCAUCAUCUCAGAGGAUUCUUCUGCCAUUCCUGUCAGGAUGGAGAUAAUACCCAACAGAAACAGAGCAAAAUAUGAGUAAGGGGAACUUUAUCGCCACACAAAUACCACAAUAUUUAUUUGGUUGAAUGUUAUUAAGUAUUCAACCCAUUGUUUUCCUGUUUCUCUUUCUUUAUUCUAGUAUCUUCCGCCAUUUUUCUGCUGCUCAACUCCUACAAGUUUUCAGCUAUUUCAACCAUUCAACUAUUCAAAUGUUCAGCUCUUUCAGCUUUUUACAGCUAAGACUUUCGGUCCUUCAAAUCCUUGAACGUUUCCAGAUGUUCCAGGAUUUCGGCCUCCAUUGAAAUACAUGGGGAAUCCUUGGUGCAGAAGCUCACUGGUUCCAUACCUGGCGCUGACGCUUUUUUGUGAAUUUCUUUUGCAAAUUAUUACCCUUUAAGUUUGAUUUUCAUUCAGCAAUAUAGCAUUCAACCCUGCAUUUUCUUCUGGAAAUCCAGCUCCUAGUUUAUUUUAUUUUUUUAUUAUCGUCCUAAUGCAUUUGCUAAAUAAAAACAAAACAAAAAGAGAGACAAUGGGAUUUUAGGGUGGAUAGUUUUGGUCGUAUUAAACAUUUUUGUUUUUGAGGUUUUCCACUGUUUGAAGACGUUUGUGUCUGGCUGUUUUAGAUUACUUCAACUUCCCGCCUUACAAAGACAAGAAAAGAAACCAUGCAGACCUACAAAACAAACAAGAACUCCAAUAAAGACUUUCCUAAGCACCAUUUUAAAAAAAAAAGGUCAAAUAGUUGGAAGUUUAGAGUCAGCUUGGAUCCAAUAUUGGACCUAUUUAUUUAAGAAUUUAGAUUUAAGGAUGAUCACAUAAAUUCUUUCUUUCAACAGAUAAAACCAACUGAGGAAAGACAGCAGACAUAUGGAUGAACACAGAAGGAGAUAAAUCAACAGGUUCAUUUUAAAAGCUUCCCGUUUUCCCCUAAAAAACAAGUUUUCACACAUUAACCCACUCCUAAUAAAAAAAAAUAUUGUUUCUGGACAGAAAAAUGUUUAUCACAAAACUGCAUUUGCUCAGCUUGAUUAAUAUAAAAUAUAAAUGAUUAAUAUAAAGGUAAAACAUGUAAAAACAAUGUGUCUUGUCGCUUUUGUUGUAUCAGACGGGAAAAAUGUUGGACACACAAAAACAAGCAGUGAAAUGUUCCUGUUUUUAAGUUGGAUGAGGAGAAUCUUCUGAAAAUAUGUUUUUGUUCCCAUAAAAUAUGGGAGAGGAAGGUUACCCUGGGACAAGUACAUGGAAAAGUUUCAACUUCAACCACAUUCUGCCCAAUUAUAAAAUACACAGAAUGUGAAGACAAAAAGAGACGCUUUUUCCACCCACUACCUGGCAUCCACUUAUGAGUGAAAAUAACAGGGUUUAGUGGAAAACAACAGUGUCUGACAGAGAAAAUGACUCAUCCCUCCAUCUCUCGCUUUCUACUUUCCUCUUGUCUAGUUACCAGCUCCGGCACAUCAUGUCCAUUAAAACUCGGCUCAACCUAAAUGAGAACAUGGGCCCCAAUAACCUGCACCGCACGCUCGGGGUCAGUUCCGGGAACUGACGAGGUAAACAAACAAAAGUUAGAAAGUUGCUUAGAACGCCCUGUUCUCAGAAGAAAUGGAAGAAAACAUGCAAAUGCAUUCCAAAAUUUGUCUAAAAAUGAAAUUAGGGAGACGGCAGACAAAUGUCCUGAUUAAACAGCAGUUGUACCUUUCUCGCCUGAAAGAUUUCAUCUUAAAAAGAAGCAGAAAGAAACUAGAGGUGGCUUCAAAUCCUUAAGUCCAAGACUCAAGAACAGCCCGUCAAUCAUGAGACCACAACCCUAUUUGAGGCCAAUUUACCUUAGAAUGGAAAAGAUUGAGUCCAUCUUUAAAGCAUAAGCUUCCAAAUUGUUUUUUCCAUCGAUGAAAGAAACAUCAAAACAACAAUUAACCUUCCUUCAACCCAACUGAGCCAACAGGGACCAAUCAGAAGCGAGGGGACAUCGGACGCUUUCCUGGCACUGCAAGUGUGUGUUGGGCAGCCCAGAGCAUGCAGCGGCCACACCCUGCGCUCGCUCAACCACACGUGCACAUACUGAGAGCAUGUCGCUUCAAGAACACACGUUUCAGCUCGAGACCCACUCUUCUGGCUGCAUCUGCUGUGAGCGCCGUCUGGUUUCAGGCGACAGAGUCCUCCUCGAGUCAGAACUCCAGAAGACUCGGACUGACUAGAGAUGAUCGUCUGCAAAAACGGAAUCUCAGGAAAGUAAAAAGACACUUGUUUAAAAAAAUGUUGUAUUUUCUGUCUACAAACACACAUAAAAAAUCAUCUUAUCAUGAAAAAUAAUCUUAGUUUAAGAAGACAUUCUCAAUUCUCAAUUCUCAACUACCACAGAAACAGAAAUAACUGACAAGAUUUUUUCACUAGAUCCAUCCAGGAGGGGUCUUAUUUCUAUACUAUAUAACAUUAUGUUGAACUUUAAAUGUUCCUCUGUGGAUAAAUUUAAGAUGGCUUGGGAAAAAGAUAUUGGCCUUGCUAUAUCAGAUGAUACUUGGGUUUCUGCUCUUAAACUGGUAAACUCAUCUUCAUUUUGUGCUCGACACCAACUAAUUCAGUUCAAGGUGGUACAUCGGGUCCAUAUUUCCAGGGUAAAGCUGGCUUCUAUGUACCCCACAGUUAGUCCACUAUGUACAAGAUGUAAUCUUACAGAUGCCUCUCUGUAUCAUAUGUUCUUUUCAUGCCCUCAUUUGAAUGCAUAUUGGAGGACAAUUUUUGACACAAUGUCUCGUGUAUUUAACACAAAUUUAAAACCAAAUCCAUUAACAGCCAUUUUUGGGGUUGUGGAGGACCAAGCUGUUUCAGGUACUGCCAAAAAACACUGUAUAGCCUUUGCAUCACUCCUGGCACGACGUGCUAUACUGCUUAAAUGGAAAGAUACCUCUCCCCCGUCUUAUUCACAGUGGCUACAGGAUAUCAUGUCCUGUUUAAAACUGGAGAAAAUUAGGUGUUCACUCAAAAGGUCUCCUGAUAUGUUUGAAGAAUUAUGGGGUCCCUUUUUGAGAACAUUUCCAGCUCUUUAGUCAUACAAGCCUACAGCAGCUUAGCUGCAUGUGGUAGCAUAUAGUACAGGUCAUGCGUGAUGGAGUGAUGGUUUGACUGUGGCAGUGACAGGGAAUGGUAUGGUUUUUUUUUUGUUUCUUUUUGUUUUCUUUCCUUAGCUUUAUUAUAAACACUUCUUGUAGUAAUUUGUCUUUCAGACUAACAGAACUCUGUAAUUGUGUUUGUAUAAUGUAAAACUCAAUAAAAAUACUGGGUUUAAAAAAAAAAGAAGACAUGUCUUAGUCACUAGACUGUUGAAGACUAUAUUCUAAUCCCAGAGGCAACAUUGUGUUCCUUAUUUAAAAGAAAACUUAAAAAAUGUUGAAAAUAAUUCUAGGGGGCCUGUUUUUACAGUGUAAUAAAAAUGUGGGCGGGGUUCCUCUGCUAAACUACAGAACCAGUUUUAUUUACUGUAUUUUCCAGCGCUUUAAUUUGUUUUUGUUUUUUUAAACAAUAGUACACCUUAUAGUCUGGAGCACCGUAUGUUAUUAUUCUUAUUAAUUAUUAAUUUUGAUUGAGUGAAGAGAUUUAGAGAGCUAAACGGCGCUCUGUCAAAACGUCCGUCUGUUUUUUUUGGCCGUCAUUGUGAGCGUAGUAAUGUCGGGCAGUUAUAAAUUUAUUUUACGAGUUAUUAAUAAGGUUGGGAGUUACAGAUACUGUUAAUACGCCAACAUGGCUAACGCUUCUAACAUGGAUAACGUGUUGCGUGUUACAGACAAGUUCUGAGUUAAAGUCUGACUGACGGACUUUCGGACCGUUUCGUCUCGCUUAAUGCGUCUUUUAGUUCGGUUAUAGUACGAAUCGAACUAUACUCACUAACUUAUUGAAAUUCCAAUAAAGAAUAGGACAUUCAAAGAUACAUUUGUCUCAUUUUUCCAUUUAAAGAACCUGUUGAUUUAAAAAAGAACAAACCCAAAUUUUUCAUAAAAAAACAUUUUUACAUCAACAACAAAAGAAAAGGACUUCAAUGUCCGACAAAUCCUUAAAGAACUUUUGAUUAAAAUCACAUUCAGCAUAGAUCAAUUACAUUUAAUUUUUCUAGGGAGUGGGGGGAGUGAAUUUAUAUAACCCCACCGUGUUGCUGCUGCAAAAAAAUAAAAUAGAAAUAAAACUUUCAAUUAAAUGGGCAAAAAUCUGCCAAUGGUGUAAGAAAAAUCGUCUAUUUUUUACCCUUAAAAAUUGUAUUUGGAUUGUUUUUCUUGCAACAAAGAAGUCAAAUAUUCUUGAAUUGAGGUUCUUUUUAUUCUCCUUUUAUUUUGUUUGUGCACCUAUACACUUUUGUCAUUCAGAUUCUAAGCAGUAAAUUGGAAUAAAGCAUCUUCUAAAAUGUGGAGUGCAUGUCUGUCAGACACGAUGACAACAUUUUAUAUACAGUCUGAGGAAGCUAAUUUUCUUCAUGGCUGUUCUGGUCGACACAACUGUCAACACGUGGUCGAUGGCGUGUUCCGACAUUCUGCUGGUGAAAAUCCCUUUGUUCCCUUCGGCUCGUGUGACGGACGGCUUCAGAGUACGUGUUCCCCAACACGCGUGUGCAUGUGCUGACGAUCCUCACUUUGAGCAGCCAGUCGUCAGACUGCUAGAAAAAUCACGGCAUGCACGUGUGUAAUUAUAGAAUCCAUUUAAGGGCAGAAAAUGAGGGUGGAUAAAUCACUGCGUUCGGUUACAGCUGUUGAGUUUGUUGCUGCUUUUAUGAGUGUAAACAACCUUAAAUCAUCUAAAUGUAUUACUGUUCACUUCCAUUUUAAAACCUGUUUACACACAUUUACACCGAUACAAAGAUAUGUAUCCGAGUAAAUCUGUCUCUGCUCGAUUAAACUGAUAGAAGACGCCCUACUAACAAAAACUUUAGUUCUGAAGUGUUUUUCUUCUGUUCUAAAUCAAAAAAUAAAAUAAAAGCAUAAUUCAAUAAAAACAGAACUGCACUUUGAAACUUAUUUUGGACAUUAAAGCUUCAACAGGAUUUGUCAGUCAUGUAUUCUGCAGGUUAUUCCUCCUAAAAACACGAGUUUAAUGCAAAGUUAGAUUUUCUGAUUGGUUUAAGAAUUUCUUUGAAAGCAGCAUUUUUGAAGCUAUUGUUGUUUUUCCUAUUGUAUUCACUCAGCAAGUACUUUUUUUUAUUAUACAGUUUUUCUUAAAAUUCCUAUUUUUAAGCUAAGAAAUAUAUAUUUUUUUUUGCCAAAUACUAAAUGUUUACUGGAUAGUUCCCAUAAAAAAAUAAAAAAUAAUGUUUAUGUAGGUAUCCUUGUUUGUUUUAAACUCCCGGCGCUGAAAAGAGAAUCCCAGAACUGCAAGUACUUUUUGAAGUCCCCAAAGCCGACCAAAAACCUGCAUGUGUUUGAACGUUGGCUUAGGCAGACAAAUACCAGCCGAGCAAUGGGGGGUGAGACGUGACAGACGGGGACCAACAGGAGAGCAGAGCCUGCAAAAAUGCACACGGAUUACGGUCACAAAGAAAAUAAAUAAAUACAUGCUACAUGUGAAAUUUUAACCAAUCGUAAUAGUAUUUUAUCUGGAAGCUGUUGUAUCCUUUACCCUACUAGGAUGUAGUUUCAUAAUAUCAAGAUAAGGUCCAGCAAAGUAGGGGUGUGUGUGAACAGACAGCACAACAAGGCAGCAGACUAAGCAUGAGCGUGCUUCACCCUGUCCUGCGGGCAUCGAUCCAGUGGCCUAAAAUUAUACCCCCUCCAAAGUGUGCACGGACGUGCAUGGGUCACAACAAAUGUGAGCCAGAGGGACGAAGAUCCAUGAAACAUUCAUGGCAAUACCGACAGGGGGGCGCUAACUUAAACUGGAUUUAGAGUGGGCGUGCAAUCGUGCACAUUUUUGCAUGACUAAACUGUCACACAAACAAGAUAAGGUGGGCGGAGCCUUCUUUGGAGGCUUGUUGAGCUACAACCAAUCUCUGUAGGUGGGCUUGUCCUUCCCUGUCUGGACUAUAGUUCCUCCAGGGAAAGUGAAAAUAAGAAAUGGAGGCUGGAAGGAAGGGGAAAAAAAAAAGGUCGAGGAGGACGGGAGGUUCCUGCAAAAACAGGUCUGUGGGUCACAAAGGUUCAUAAAAAUGCCCCCUCUGAAAACCACUAGUGGCUGUUGAAGCUCAUCACACGGAUCCACUGCAGAUGGCGAAGCACCACAUAGGUGUUUUUACAGGCUGGAAGUCCGCUUUGCCUCAAACAACUCAAGUUGGGCCUCACAAACUGGAAUUGGCACAACAAAGCCAAAAACAAAGUCCACCUUUUUCUUUAUGACACUUACAAAAUUCAAUUAUUUCCACAUCACGCUGAUUUGAACCAAUGUUUGAUUUUGAGCUUUUAUCCAAAAGAACAGCAGCUUUUCAACAAGAACAAACGGCUAAAAGCUGCUAGAAAGAUGAUUUCAAAGCCAUCGCAAUGAAGUCCAAUCUGUCUGCAUGAAUGUUAGUUAUGGUAGAUUAAUAAAUAAAAUAUCAAAGCA